UACGAAGGGGGCAAGCGUUGUUCGGAAUCACUGGGCGUAAAGCGCACGUAGGCGGUUUCUUAAGUCAGGGGUGAAAUCCUGGAGCUCAACUCCAGAACUGCCUUUGAUACUGGGAGACUUCGAGUCCGGGAAAGGUGAGUGGAACUGCGAGUGUAGAGGUGAAAUUCGUAGAUAUUCGCAAGAACACCAGUGGCGAAGGCGGCUCACUGGCCCGGUACUGACGCUGAGGUGCGAAAGCGUGGGGAGCAAACAGG
rnacentral:rRNA from 1 species